rnacentral:rRNA from 1 species
UACGAAGGGUGCAAGCGUUACUCGGAAUUACUGGGCGUAAAGGGUGCGUAGGUGGUUUCUUAAGUCAGAGGUGAAAGGCUACGGCUCAACCGUAGUAAGCCUUUGAAACUGGGAAACUUGAGUGCAGGAGAGGAGAGUGGAAUUCCUAGUGUAGCGGUGAAAUGCGUAGAUAUUAGGAGGAACACCAGUUGCGAAGGCGGCUCUCUGGACUGUAACUGACACUGAGGCACGAAAGCGUGGGGAGCAAACAGG